GUUGUUUAAUUGUCAAAAUAAACCAAAAUACAGAUUUUUCUUUUUCAUUUUAUUCAGACGUAGAAGUACAAAGUUGUGAUCAAUUUAAUGGCAAUUUCGAUAAAAUAAAAUCGAUAUAACUUUUCGUUUUUAGUCAUUUUCAUAGGUUUUUCUUUAAAGAUCGAAAAAAAUGGUGCAUCCUGCGAUUGCAGCUAUCUCAUUCGGUGUUGUACUUGGUGGUGCUAUUUUUGCGUUAUUUUUUUACGGUAGAAAUGAAAGCAAUCCACAUAGAUAUGAAGAAAGACGGCGAAGACAUCCCUUAGAAUGCAUGCAACACCAAUUCGAAACAGAUAUUUGUUCGAUAUGCCUAGAUCGGUUCGAUGAUGCCGAUGUAUUUCUAGAAUGCGCACAUCGCUUCCAUGGGGGAUGUAUUCGAGAAAGUUUGAGACACAGCAAUUUAUGUCCAAACUGUCGUCAACCAGCAAAAAUUCGCUACCAAUAGUUCAUAUCAAAGAAGUGUCUUGACGCCGUUAUUUUCAAGUUAAUACUAGUGAUUUGUAUAUCGUUUUAAAGGAAUCGAGAGAAAUAUGCCCAACAUUUGAAAGAUAUGAAAAAUCUUUGAAGGUCAAGCUGAAAGUUCAAAAAAGUAUGCGUAAUCGAAUAAUAAAUGUUAAAAAAUUGAAAAACACAAAAUUGUCACUUCUGAAGUGGAUCGAUUUCAUUAGUAACAAAAGUGCUUGAAAAUCAAACCUUUCUGGGUGACCGGUGGGACAGACUUUCAAUAAUAGCUAAGAUUGUAUUUUUUAUGAAAAUUGUAUAAUUCAAAACCAUUAUCCUCCUUUGUUUAAGUCUUAAUGAAGCUGUUAUAUCAAAAAAAAGUCGUCUCUUUCACAUUUUUGGUACAUUUCUCUUGAUUCUUUUAAAACGAAACGUACUGUUAGUGAAAUUCUGUUCUAAUUCAAUUUUGUUUGCAAAUUAUUAAUACUCUAUUGAUCUGGUUUGUUGCUAUUUAGGAACUGUAACUUAUUAUUAAGUGACAAACAUUUGUACCAAUUUUAAUUUCGAAGCACAAUGUACUAAUUACUUCAGUUCAGUUUAGGAAUUAUUUGUAAAAAUUUGGUAGUGUUUUAUCCUAUCCAAUUAUAUUAAAAUAAAGAAAAACAUUUUUUUUACUCAA